AGCGUACACGGUGGAUGCCCUGGCAGUCAGAGGCGAUGAAGGACGUGCUAAUCUGCGAUAAGCGUCGGUAAGGUGAUAUGAACCGUUAUAACCGGCGAUUUCCGAAUGGGGAAACCCAGUGUGUUUCGACACACUAUCAUUAACUGAAUCCAUAGGUUAAUGAGGCGAACCGGGGGAACUGAAACAUCUAAGUACCCCGAGGAAAAGAAAUCAACCGAGAUUCCCCCAGUAGCGGCGAGCGAACGGGGAGCAGCCCAGAGCCUGAAUCAGUGUGUGUGUUAGUGGAAGCGUCUGGAAAGGCGCGCGAUACAGGGUGACAGCCCCGUACACAAAAAUGCACAUGCUGUGAGCUCGAUGAGUAGGGCGGGACACGUGGUAUCCUGUCUGAAUAUGGGGGGACCAUCCUCCAAGGCUAAAUACUCCUGACUGACCGAUAGUGAACCAGUACCGUGAGGGAAAGGCGAAAAGAACCCCGGCGAGGGGAGUGAAAAAGAACCUGAAACCGUGUACGUACAAGCAGUGGGAGCACGCUUCGGCGUGUGACUGCGUACCUUUUGUAUAAUGGGUCAGCGACUUAUAUUCUGUAGCAAGGUUAACCGAAUAGGGGAGCCGAAGGGAAACCGAGUCUUAACUGGGCGUUAAGUUGCAGGGUAUAGACCCGAAACCCGGUGAUCUAGCCAUGGGCAGGUUGAAGGUUGGGUAACACUAACUGGAGGACCGAACCGACUAAUGUUGAAAAAUUAGCGGAUGACUUGUGGCUGGGGGUGAAAGGCCAAUCAAACCGGGAGAUAGCUGGUUCUCCCCGAAAGCUAUUUAGGUAGCGCCUCGUGAAUUCAUCUCCGGGGGUAGAGCACUGUUUCGGCAAGGGGGUCAUCCCGACUUACCAACCCGAUGCAAACUGCGAAUACCGGAGAAUGUUAUCACGGGAGACACACGGCGGGUGCUAACGUCCGUCGUGAAGAGGGAAACAACCCAGACCGCCAGCUAAGGUCCCAAAGUCAUGGUUAAGUGGGAAACGAUGUGGGAAGGCCCAGACAGCCAGGAUGUUGGCUUAGAAGCAGCCAUCAUUUAAAGAAAGCGUAAUAGCUCACUGGUCGAGUCGGCCUGCGCGGAAGAUGUAACGGGGCUAAACCAUGCACCGAAGCUGCGGCAGCGACGCUUAUGCGUUGUUGGGUAGGGGAGCGUUCUGUAAGCCUGUGAAGGUGUGCUGUGAGGCAUGCUGGAGGUAUCAGAAGUGCGAAUGCUGACAUAAGUAACGAUAAAGCGGGUGAAAAGCCCGCUCGCCGGAAGACCAAGGGUUCCUGUCCAACGUUAAUCGGGGCAGGGUGAGUCGACCCCUAAGGCGAGGCCGAAAGGCGUAGUCGAUGGGAAACAGGUUAAUAUUCCUGUACUUGGUGUUACUGCGAAGGGGGGACGGAGAAGGCUAUGUUGGCCGGGCGACGGUUGUCCCGGUUUAAGCGUGUAGGCUGGUUUUCCAGGCAAAUCCGGAAAAUCAAGGCUGAGGCGUGAUGACGAGGCACUACGGUGCUGAAGCAACAAAUGCCCUGCUUCCAGGAAAAGCCUCUAAGCAUCAGGUAACAUCAAAUCGUACCCCAAACCGACACAGGUGGUCAGGUAGAGAAUACCAAGGCGCUUGAGAGAACUCGGGUGAAGGAACUAGGCAAAAUGGUGCCGUAACUUCGGGAGAAGGCACGCUGAUAUGUAGGUGAAGUCCCUUGCGGAUGGAGCUGAAAUCAGUCGAAGAUACCAGCUGGCUGCAACUGUUUAUUAAAAACACAGCACUGUGCAAACACGAAAGUGGACGUAUACGGUGUGACGCCUGCCCGGUGCCGGAAGGUUAAUUGAUGGGGUCAGCGCAAGCGAAGCUCUUGAUCGAAGCCCCGGUAAACGGCGGCCGUAACUAUAACGGUCCUAAGGUAGCGAAAUUCCUUGUCGGGUAAGUUCCGACCUGCACGAAUGGCGUAAUGAUGGCCAGGCUGUCUCCACCCGAGACUCAGUGAAAUUGAACUCGCUGUGAAGAUGCAGUGUACCCGCGGCAAGACGGAAAGACCCCGUGAACCUUUACUAUAGCUUGACACUGAACAUUGAGCCUUGAUGUGUAGGAUAGGUGGGAGGCUUUGAAGUGUGGACGCCAGUCUGCAUGGAGCCGACCUUGAAAUACCACCCUUUAAUGUUUGAUGUUCUAACGUUGACCCGUGAUCCGGGUUGCGGACAGUGUCUGGUGGGUAGUUUGACUGGGGCGGUCUCCUCCUAAAGAGUAACGGAGGAGCACGAAGGUUGGCUAAUCCUGGUCGGACAUCAGGAGGUUAGUGCAAUGGCAUAAGCCAGCUUGACUGCGAGCGUGACGGCGCGAGCAGGUGCGAAAGCAGGUCAUAGUGAUCCGGUGGUUCUGAAUGGAAGGGCCAUCGCUCAACGGAUAAAAGGUACUCCGGGGAUAACAGGCUGAUACCGCCCAAGAGUUCAUAUCGACGGCGGUGUUUGGCACCUCGAUGUCGGCUCAUCACAUCCUGGGGCUGAAGUAGGUCCCAAGGGUAUGGCUGUUCGCCAUUUAAAGUGGUACGCGAGCUGGGUUUAGAACGUCGUGAGACAGUUCGGUCCCUAUCUGCCGUGGGCGCUGGAGAACUGAGGGGGGCUGCUCCUAGUACGAGAGGACCGGAGUGGACGCAUCACUGGUGUUCGGGUUGUCAUGCCAAUGGCACUGCCCGGUAGCUAAAUGCGGAAGAGAUAAGUGCUGAAAGCAUCUAAGCACGAAACUUGCCCCGAGAUGAGUUCUCCCUGACUCCUUGA
rnacentral:rRNA from 1 species